rnacentral:tRNA from 1 species
AUCAGUUUAGUAUAAUUUAAUGCGUGGGAUUGUAGCUCCUGGGAUAACGUAACUUGUUAACUGAGA